GUUCUUAUAGUGUAGGUAAGCACAUAAGAUUUUCAAUCUUAGAGGGCAUUAUAAUCAAAUAAAGUAUGCUAAGAAUA
rnacentral:tRNA from 1 species